rnacentral:lncRNA from 1 species
ACAAUUUAGCCCUGUAACUAACUUCUGCUCAGGUGAGUUAUCCUGGCCAGCUAUGAUCAUCUUUUCUUUUCCUUUUUUUUUUUUUUCAUUUUUGUGUGUGUGAAUUGCUGAAAAGCAAACCUUUCCUGCAACUAAUUGUAUUUGCUAAUAACCUGUGAAAAAGCAAUUAUCUCCAGGUGAUGCAAUUCUUUGGGAAGGCUUUUAUAAUUGGCAAAGAGGGGAAAGAAUCUUUUCUGUGGUUGCUGUUUUCAGAAAAAUCUUCUCAAAUAUUGUAUCUGAUGUAUCACAUUAGACACAUCAGAUUGGGUUGCAUCAGCAAUGUUGCAUUACAUCACAUCACCGAGCCAGAAUAAUUUUGCUAUGUGAAGAUGAACUCCUGAAAUGGGAACCUAUUUGGAGAAUUUAUCUGACAGAAGCAAUAGGACUUCAGCUUGAGGACCUAGACCAGCCCAAAUGAAGCAGUACGGCAGGGAUGGGACUGGCAUCAUCGGCACCCGGAGUCUUCUGCACUUCACAAAGUUACGCAUCUUCUUCUGCAUUUCUUCAAGUACAGAAAACUGGCAACCCGUGUGUCUCUUCAUGUCCUGCAGAGCAAUUAAAGGACAGCCAGCAUUUUCCUCUGCGUGCCACCAGCCACAUCAUUUCAUUCACUGAAGUAGCCGAUGGUGAGAUUAGGCAAAUACUUUGACUUUGCCCCUGCCUUUUGUGGUUGCCGUACCUCUGAAGAUGCCAUUCACCUCUAAUUACAAGUCUGUUGAAAUCAUGCAGAGAAGGAACAGUGUAAGUCAUUAGCCCUCCUAAAUGAAUGUGCAGCUGAGUAGCUAACAAAGGGAUUAACACUUGACAGCAAAAGCGUUGCAUGCUGAAGGAGAGGGUCACUGGGUGACUGCCUAUUACACAGAAAUAAUUGCUAUCCAAUGCUGAGAGAAACCGAUGGCUGCAGGCUGUGUUUACUGCACAGAAAUGCAUUUUUGCUGUCAGUUCUUACCCCCCUGCAUAAUCCGCCCUUGCAUAAAAUAGGGAGAAGGCCUAUUUUGGCCAGGGCAUGGUGGGAAGAGGCAAUGGAAGUACAGGGAACUGAAGCCCAAGAAAAUUUGGUAGGAAUCAUCCCGUUGAACAGAAAACUUUC